UGCCCUGAAGCGGGGGAUAACAUCUGGAAACAGGUGCUAAUACCGCAUAACAACGAAAACCACAUGGUUUUCGUUUCAAAGAUGGUUUCGGCUAUCACUUCAGGAUGGGCCCGCGGUGCAUUAGCUAGUUGGUAAGGUAACGGCUUACCAAGGCAAUGAUGCAUAGCCGAGUUGAGAGACUGAUCGGCCACAAUGGAACUGAGACACGGUCCAUACUCCUACGGGAGGCAGCAGGC
rnacentral:rRNA from 1 species